GAUGAAGAACGUAGCGAAAUGCGAUAAGUAAUGUGAAUUGCAGAAUUCAGUGAAUCAUCGAAUCUUUGAACGCACAUUGCGCCCGCCAGUAUUCUGGCGGGCAUGCCUGUCCGAGCGUCAUUUCAACCCUCGAACCCCUCCGGGGGGUCGGCGUUGGGGACCUCGGGAGCCCCUAAGACGGGAUCCCGGCCCCGAAAUACAGUGGCGGUCUCGCCGCAGCCUCUCCUGCGCAGUAGAUUGCACAACUCGCACCGGGAGCGCGGCGCGUCCACGUCCGUAAAACACCCAACUUCUGAAAUGUUGACCUCGGAUCAGGUAGGAAUACCCGCUGAACUUAAGCAUAUCAAUAAGCGGAGGA
rnacentral:misc_RNA from 1 species